rnacentral:rRNA from 1 species
UGCAAGUCGAACGAGAAAGUACCUUCGCGGUGCGAGUACAGUGGCGGACGGGUGAGUAACGCGUAGGAAUCUACCCAGUAGCGGGGGAUAACUCCGGGAAACCGGGGCUAAUACCGCAUACGCUCCUUCUUUUGGUUAAGGAGGAGGAAAGAGGGCCUCUAUUUAUAAGCUCUCACUAUUGGAGGAGCCUGCGUUGGAUUAGCUAGUUGGUAGGGUAAAGGCCUACCAAGGCGACGAUCUAUAGCUGGUCUGAGAGGACGAUCAGCCACACUGGAACUGAGACACGGUCCAGACUCCUACGGGAGGCAGCAGUGGGGAAUCUUGGGCAAUGGGCGCAAGCCUGACCCAGCCAUGCCGCGUGUGUGAAGAAGGCCUUCGGGUUGUAAAGCACUUUCAGUAGUGAAGAAAAGCUUGAGGCUAAUACCCUUGAGUCUUGACGUUAGCUACAGAAGAAGCACCGGCUAACUCCGUGCCAGCAGCCGCGGUAAUACGGAGGGUGCGAACGUUAAUCGGAAUUACUGGGCGUAAAGCGCGCGUAGGCGGUUCGGUAAGUGGGAUGUGAAAGCCCCGGGCUCAACCUGGGAAUUGCAUUCCAAACUGCCGAGCUAGAGUAUGGUAGAGGGAGGUAGAAUUUCCUGUGUAGCGGUGAAAUGCGUAGAUAUAGGAAGGAAUACCAGUGGCGAAGGCGGCCUCCUGGACCAAUACUGACGCUGAGGUGCGAA